GGAGAGAUGGCCGAGCGGUUGAAGGCGCACGCUUGGAAAGCGUGUAUAUCCGAAAGGGUAUCUGGGGUUCGAAUCCCCAUCUCUCCGCCA
rnacentral:tRNA from 1 species